AUUGAACGCUGGCGGCAGGCCUAACACAUGCAAGUCGAGCGAGCGGCGGACGGGUGAGUACUGUCUGGGAAACUGCCUGAUGGAUGGGGAUAAAUACUGGACACGGUAGCUAAUACCGCAUACCAUCAGAUGUGCCCCGAUGGGAUUAGCUAGUAGGUGGGGUAACGGCUCACCUAGGCGACGAUCCCUAGCUGGUCUGAGUGGAUGACCAGCCACACUGGAACGGAGACACGGUCCAGAGUCCUACGGGAGGCAGCAGUGGGGAAUAUUGGACAAUGGGCGCAAGCCGGAUGCAGCAAUGCCGCGUGUGUGAAGAAGGCCUUCGGGUUGUAAAGCACUUUCAGCGGGGAGGCGGUACCAGCAGAAGAAGCACCGGCUAACUCCGUGCCAGCCGCCGCGGUAAUAC
rnacentral:rRNA from 1 species